rnacentral:misc_RNA from 1 species
GUGAAUCAUCGAAUUUUUGAACGCAAAUUGCACUCUCCUCGGAGAGUAUGCCUGUUUGAGGGUCAGCCUAUAAAAAAUCGGCAGCGUUGCUGUUUCGCGGUGGCGUUCGUUGUAAAUUGUGUUAUCUUAAAUCUUUUGGUUUUAAGCUACUUAAAAUUUUCUUUUUGGUUCUAUGAACGUUUCUAAGAUUUUUUUCUUUACACUUUUAAGGUAUCGAUUUUUAUUAGACGUGAGCGUCAUAUCGGAU